GACGAACGCUGGCGGCGUGCUUAACACAUGCAAGUCGAACGGAAAGCGCGGGAGCUUGCUCCCUGCGCGUGAGUGGCGCACGUGUGAGUCACACGUGUACAAUCUGCCUCGAACUCUGGGAUAAUCGCUGGAAACGGGCUCUAAUACCGGAUACGCUGCUGCAGCGCGUUCUGUCUGGGUGAAAUGCGGCGGUUGGGGAUGUUCUCGCGGCUUAUCAGCUCGUUGGUGUGGUAUUGGCUUACCAAGGCUCUGACGGGUAGCCGGCCUGAGAGGGUGACCGGCCACACUGGGACUGAGAUACGGCCCAGACUCCUACGGGAGGCAGCAGUGGGGAAUAUUGCACAAUGGGCGGAAGCCUGAUGCAGCAACGCCGCGUGCGGGAUGACGGCCUUCGGGUUGUAAACCGCUUUGGGCAGUGAAGAAGCGAGAGUGACGGUAACGGGUGAAAAAGCACCGGCUAACUACGUG
rnacentral:rRNA from 1 species